CUCAGCGCUGCUGCUGCUCUCGGUCGGCUGUCCCGGCCCCGGGUUCCCGCCGCCAGACGCCGACCGACUCAUCACACAACACUGUCUUCACACAGACCCCUCGGCGCUGGAGUCUGACCGGCAGCUGCUGCUGGCAUUCCGCUCGCUGUCUGACCUGCUCUCCGGCCUGUCGGCGCUGGCAGAGGCAGAAAACGCCUCCAGCCGAUGCCAAAAUGUCCGUCGUCAGUCCGACCCGGCCCCCGCACAGCCGUGGUGGGAGCCUCAGAAGCGUGCGGACCGGCAGCCCCCGCGGGAUCCGCCACAUUUCGACACUCUGCUGGCACAGCUCAACACGGCGCUGCAGCAGCUCAA